GAAUUGCCUUCAAAACAGACACGAGGCGGAGCUCAUAUUAUCUUUCAAGUUUAACAUUAAGGUGCUUAUAAUGUGACUGGAUCAUCUUGAAAGUCCUAUAUCAACACAUGCCUUUCUGUACCUAUAUACUGUUUCAUGUUUCAACAUAUCAGCGCCUUUAUUUUCAUAAAAGUUUAUAAACUCACAUUAACAUUCAUUAUUGUUUAUUUGAAAGAGGUUUCAUGCAGAGUCAAUGUGGAACAUGAUGUGACACGCAAUAGUGAAAUGAUGUUUUCAGAUUUGAAGGUGGUAUUAUAUCUAACAUGAGUGUGCAGACAUAAUUUUAUUGUUAAAGUAUAUCUGAUUACCUGGUUUCCAAAUCCAAUGCCAACGCCAAGCAUGAUUCUACCUAGGAGAAGCAUGGCCAGAUUAACAGCUGCUGCAUUGAGAGCUGAUCCAAUAAGAAAGCUGAUUCCACCACCAAUUAUACUUGCCCUUCGCCCGUAUUUCCUUGUCACUGGAGACGCCAGUAGAGAUGCAACUAAACCAGCAAGGUAAAGAGAUGAGGUAAACAAUGCAAGCCCUUGAUUGUUGUACUUGCAGUAAUUGCUUUCAUGUGCGUGCUCUUUACUUCUGUAUACUGACGGGAAAAAUUCCUGGAGGAACUCAUCCAUGGAAGUCACCCCACCUGGUAGCCAUUAAACAAGCAUAAAAGAAAUUUCAAUAUACAAGGAAUGACUCUCCCUUUCUUCAACAAGCAUCCAGUGAAAUGGAUAAACUGAAGCCUAAAAUCCAUGGGAUACUCCAAUAUCAGAGGCCACAAAAUAUGUUUCUAAUGUCCUAAACCCAAAACAGGAUUCAGUACAUCUGGUAUCUCGAUUGGAGAGCAAGUGAAUGAUGAUGAAACACUGUAGGUUGUAUCUAUCAAUGUGCCAUUAUUAUAUGUUAAUUGGGGAUUGCAUCACCUGGAAUAAAGUAGUGACGAUGAAAAGGUUCCAGAAAUGAAUCAAACAUGAUU